AGUGAACGCUGGCGGUAGGCCUAACACAUGCAAGUCGAACGGCAGCACAGUAAGAGCUUGCUCUUACGGGUGGCGAGUGGCGGACGGGUGAGGAAUACAUCGGAAUCUACUUUUUCGUGGGGGAUAACGUAGGGAAACUUACGCUAAUACCGCAUACGACCUACAGGUGAAAGCAGGGGAUCUUCGGACCUUGCGCGAUUGAAUGAGCCGAUGUCGGAUUAGCUAGUUGGCGGGGUAAAGGCCCACCAAGGCGACGAUCCGUAGCUGGUCUGAGAGGAUGAACAGCCACACUGGAACUGAGACACGGUCCAGACUCCUACGGGAGGCAGCAGUGGGGAAUAUUGGACAAUGGGCGCAAGCCUGAUCCAGCCAUACCGCGUGGGUGAAGAAGGCCUUCGGGUUGUAAAGCCCUUUUGUUGGGAAAGAAAAGCAGCAGGUUAAUACCCCGCUGUUCUGACGGUACCCAAAGAAUAAGCACCGGCUAACUUCGUG
rnacentral:rRNA from 1 species